CGGUGUAGUGAUACUAGAGCGAGAGUGCAGAUGGUUGUUAGAGAAUAACUAGCAUUGAGCGUGACCAAUAUGAGAAGUCACAUGGAUGUUUGCACAUUCAUUAAUGACUUUCUCAAUGCUGUAGUUGUAUGACUGAUCUUUUGAUCUGAGAUGACACUAUUGCUCGCAGUGAGGCAGCUAGAGUUUGACUAAUACAUCAACAUGGGUCUCAAUGAGCC
rnacentral:lncRNA from 1 species